rnacentral:rRNA from 1 species
GUGGAUGAUGUGGUUUAAUUCGAUGCAACGCGAAAACUUACCCACCUUUGACAUGUACGGAAGUUACCAGAGAUGGUUUCGUGCUCGAAAGAGAACCGUAACACAGGUCCUGCAUGGCUGUCGUCAGCUCGUGUCGUGAGAUGUUGGGUUAAGUCCCGCAACGAGCGCAACCCUUGUCAUUAGUUGCUACGAAAGGGCACUCUAAUGAGACUGCCGGUGACAAACCGGAGGAAGGUGGGGAUGACGUCAAGUCCUCAUGGCCCUUAUAGGUGGGGCUACACACGUCAUACAAUGGCUGGUACAGAGGGUUGCCAACCCGCGGGGGGGAGCUAAUCCCAUAAAACCAGUCGUAGUCCGGAUCGCAGUCUGCAACUCGACUGCGUGAAGUCGGAAUCGCUAGUAAUCGCGGAUCAGAAUGUCGCGGUGAAUACGUUCCCGGGUCUUGUACACACCGCCCGUCACA